rnacentral:rRNA from 1 species
GAUGAACGCUGGCGGCGUGCCUAAUACAUGCAAGUCGAGCGAAUGGAUUAAGAGCUUGCUCUUAUGAAGUUAGCGGCGGACGGGUGAGUAACACGUGGGUAACCUGCCCAUAAGACUGGGAUAACUCCGGGAAACCGGGGCUAAUACCGGAUAACAUUUUGAACCGCAUGGUUCGAAAUUGAAAGGCGGCUUCGGCUGUUACUUAUGGAUGGACACGCGUCGCAUUAGCUAGUUGGUGAGGUAACGGCUCACCAAGGCAACGACGCGUAGCCGACCUGAGAGGGUGAUCGGCCAAACUGGGACUGAGACACGGCCCAGACUCCUACGGGAGGCAGCAGUAGGGAAUCUUCCGCAAUGGACGAAAGUCUGACGGAGCAACGCCGCGUGAGUGAUGAAGGCUUUCGGGUCGUAAAACUCUGUUGUUAGGGAAGAACAAGUGCUAGUUGAAUAAGCUGGCACCUUGACGGUACCUAACCAGAAAGCCACGGCUAACUACGUGCCAGCAGCCGCAGUAA